GACGAACGCUGGCGGCAUGCCUAACACAUGCAAGUCGAACGGACAUACAAUACCUUGCUUUUUUACGCUAGUGGCGGACGGGUGAGUAACACGUGAGCAACCUGCCCUUGACUGGGGGAUAGCUUCUGGAAACGGAUGGUAAUACCCCAUAAAAUAUCAUUAUCGCAUGUUAGAUAUAUCAAAGAAAUUCGCUCUGAGAUGGGCUCGCGUCUGAUUAGAUAGUUGGUGAGGUAACGGCUCACCAAGGCGACGACCAGUAGCCGGACUGAGAGGUUGAGCGGACACAACUGGGCUAAGACACAGCCCCGAAUCCUACGCAAGGGAGCAGAGUGGAAUAUUGCACAAUGGAGGGAGCUCUGAUGCAGCGAUGCCGGGUAGAGGAAGAAGGUUUUCGGAAUGUAAUCUCCUUUUAUCAGGGACGAUAAUGACGGUACCUGAAGAAAAAGCACCGGCUAACUACGUG
rnacentral:rRNA from 1 species